AGUGAACGCUGGCGGCAGGCCUAAUACAUGCAAGUCGAACGGCAGCACAGUGGAGCUUGCUCCAUGGGUGGCGAGUGGCGGACGGGUGGGGAAUACAUGGGAAUCUGCCCAGUCGUGGGGGAUAACGUAGGGAAACUUACGCUAAUACCGCAUGCGCCCUUCGGGGGAAAGCCGGGGACCUUCGGGCCUGGCGCGAUUGGAUGAGCCCAUGUUCGAUUAGCUAGUUGGCGGGGUAAAGGCCCACCAAGGCGACGAUCGAUAGCUGGUCUGAGAGGAUGAUCAGCCACACUGGGACUGAGACACGGCCCAGACUCCUACGGGAGGCAGCAGUAGGGAAUAUUGGACAAAGGGCGCAAGCCUGAUCCAGCCAUGCCGCGUGAGUGAAGAAGGCCCUCGGGUUGUAAAGCUCUUUUGUCCGGGAAGAAAAGCAUCGGGCUAAUACCUCGGUGUUCUGACGGUACCGGAAGAAUAAGCACCGGCUAACUUCGUG
rnacentral:rRNA from 1 species